rnacentral:rRNA from 1 species
AACGAACGCUGGCGGCAGGCCUAACACAUGCAAGUCGAGCGAGGACUUCGGUCCUAGCGGCGGACGGGUGAGUAACGCGUGGGAACGUGCCCUUUGCUUCGGAAUAGCCCUGGGAAACUGGGAGUAAUACCGGAUGAGCCCUUUGGGGGAAAGAUUUAUCGGCGAAGGAUCGGCCCGCGUUGGAUUAGGUAGUUGGUGGGGUAAUGGCCUACCAAGCUGACGAUCCAUAGCUGGUUUGAGAGGAUGAUCAGCCACACUGGGACUGAGACACGGCCCAGACUCCUACGGGAGGCAGCAGUGGGGAAUCUUAGACAAUGGGGGAAACCCUGAUCUAGCCAUGCCGCGUGAGCGAUGAAGGCCUUAGGGUUGUAAAGCUCUUUCAGCUGGGAAGAUAAUGACGGUACCAGCAGAAGAAGCCCCGGCUAACUCCGUG